GACGAACGCUGGCGGCGCGCUUAACACAUGCAAGUCGAGCGAGAACCAGACCUUCGGGUCUGGGGACAGCGGCGAACGGGUGAGUAACACGUGGGUAAUCAACCCUCGGUACUGGGAUAGCCCGGGGAAACCCGGAUUAAUACCGGAUGGCCCUUCGGAUCUUCGGUUCUGAAGGAAAAGGUAGCUUCGGCCUCCGACCGAGGACGAGCCCGCGGCGGAUUAGCUUGUUGGUGGGGUAACGGCCUACCAAGGCGGCGAUCCGUAGCUGGUCUGAGAGGACGAUCAGCCACACCGGGACUGAGACACGGCCCAGACUCCUACGGGAGGCAGCAGUGGGGAAUCUUGCGCUAAUGCGGGAAACCGUGACGCAGCGACGCCGCGUGAGGGAAGAAGGCCUUCGGGUUGUAAACCUCUUUCAGGUGGGACGAGGCUACUCGGGUUAAUAGCCCAGAGGGUGACGGUACCUCCAGAAGAAGCCCCGGCUAACUACGUGCCAGCCGCCGCAGUAAGAC
rnacentral:rRNA from 1 species